GAUGAACGCUGGCGGCGUGCCUAAUACAUGCAAGUCGAGCGAACAGACGAGGAGCUUGCUCCUCUGACGUUAGCGGCGGACGGGUGAGUAACGCGUGUAUAACCUACCUAUAAGACUGGGAUAACUUGGGGAAACCGGAUCUAAUACCGUAUAAUAUAUUGAACCGCAUGGGUCAAUGGUGAAAUACGGUUUUUCGGGCACUUAUAGAUGGAUCCGCGCUGCAUUAGCUAGUUGGUAGGGUAACGGCCUACCAAGGCAACGAUGCGUAGCCGACCUGAGAGGGGGAUCGGCCACACUGGAACUGAGACACGGUCCAGACUCCUACGGGAGGCAGCAGUAGGGAAUCGUACGCAAUGGGCGAAAGCCUGACGGAGCAGGGGCGCGUGAGUGAUGAAGGUCUUCGGAUCGUAAAACCCUGUUAUGAGGGAAGAACCAAUGUGUAAGUAACUAUGCCCGUAUUGACGGUAACGAAUAAGAAAGCCACGGCUAACUACGUG
rnacentral:rRNA from 1 species